UGAACGCUGGCGGCGUGCCUAACACAUGCAAGUCGAGCGGCAGCGAGGGGUGCUUGCACCCUGUCGGCGAGCGGCGGACGGCUGAGUAACGCGUGGGAACGUGCCCCAAAGUGAGGAAUAACUGCCCGAAAGGGUAGCUAAUACCGCAUAUUAUCUUCGGAUCAAAGGAUUUAUCCGCUUUGGGAGCGGCUCGCGUCGGAUUAGGUAGUUGGUGAGGUAAUGGCUCACCAAGCCGACGAUCCGUAGCUGGUCUGAGAGGAUGACCAGCCAGACUGGAACUGAGACACGGUCCAGACUCCUACGGGAGGCAGCAGUGAGGAGUCUUCCACAAUGGGCGAAAGCCUGAUGGAGCAACGCCGCGUGCAGGACGAAGGCCUUCGGGUUGUAAACUGCUUUUAUAAGUGAGGAAUAUGACGGUAACUUAUGAAUAAGGAUCGGCUAACUACGUG
rnacentral:rRNA from 1 species